UAGGGAAUAUUGCACAAUGGGCGAAAGCCUGAUGCAGCAACGCCGCGUGUGCGAUGAAGGCCUUCGGGUCGUAAAGCACUUUUCUGAGAGAUGAGAAAGGACAGUAUCUCAGGAAUAAGUCUCGGCUAACUACGUGCCAGCAGCCGCGGUAACACGUAGGAGGCGAGCGUUAUCCGGAUUCACUGGGCGUAAAGCGCGUGCAGGCGGUUUGGUAAGUUGAUCGUGAAAGCUCCCGGCUCAACUGGGAGAGGUCGUUCAAUACUACCAAACUAGAGAGUAGAAGAGGAAGAUGGAAUUCCCGGUGUAGUGGUGAAAUGCGUAGAUAUCGGGAGGAACACCAGUGGCGAAGGCGAUCUUCUGGUCUAUUUCUGACGCUCAGACGCGACAGCUAGGGUAGUAAACGGG
rnacentral:rRNA from 1 species